AUGGGCAUCCUUGAUCCUCCUCCUUCCUGGCCGACCAACCAACCAAGAAUGGCGCCACCACGGAGGAAUCCCACCCUCACCCUGCACACUUAUUUCUACAUCUGCCUUCUUCUCCUCCUGUCCACGGCAACCAUAUCCGCCGCAGUCACCGCUUCCUCCUACUACACCGCCUGCCCUUCCCUGUCGCCCGCUCAAGACCGCCACACCAAAGCCGACGACACCCUUUCGCUCGUCCGCUCCUUCCAGAUCUCUACCGGCAAGUUCUCCCGCGGCGCCGAUGGCCCCUUUUUCCCCGGCGAUGACCCCUACAACGCCCGCUCCUUCUACUUCUUCCCACACGGCGCCUCCCGCACGGACGACCCGGCUCUCGUCCACCUCGCCGCCACCUUCACCCUCAACGACCCCUUCCGUAAUGACAGCGGCGCCGACUCCGUCUCCUUCUUCCUCGACGGUUACUACUCCUCAACCACACUGGAGCUCUGCAUGGUUGGGACGGGCACAGAGCGCACCGAAGAUGGCUCUCUCAAGCACUACCCCGACGUCGCCCUCCGCCUCCGCGUCCCCAGUCCUCCCACCCUCGCCGAUCCCUUCGUGACUGGCAGCCUGGAGGGCGGCGCCGGCCUCGGAACCAUCCGCCUCCUCGCGUAUGCCGAGGGCGACCACUACGAGUACGGCUCCGAGCGAGCGGCCUGCAGCCCCAGCCCACCGAAGCAGCCGGCCAGCGGCUCGCUCAGGGUGCUCGGCGGCAACCACCCUUUGUCCGUGUGCGCACACCUGACACCACAGCUCAUGACCUCGUACAGGCUGAGGCUGGAGCACGGCGGCACUCUGCUUCCCUGGAUGCGCGUAAACCAGGUGCACUGCGCCGUGGACGGCGCCGGCGUGCACGUGCGCGCCUACGCGGUGCUCUCGAACGACACCACGCCGACCGAGACGCGCGAGUACUACCGCCGCCAACGACGCUUCUUGGUCCGCGAGGAGGCCGUCGUGGCCGACGGGCAGUGGGACACGGAUCGCCGCAUGCUCUGCCUCAGGGCGUGCCGGGUGGAGCUCCCGGUGCUGCCGUCUGCUCCGGCGGUGCCAGAGCAUGGAUGCGGGAUCGGGAUGAGCUUCUGGUUCCCGGCCGUGUGGACGAUGCGGGAGCGGAGCGUCGUUGCCGGGAUGCUCUGGAACUCGACCCAAGCCGGCGCUGGACUGAUAACAGCGUCGAGCAUGGACGGCCAAAGAAGCUCCACCAACCUCUCCGACGUGAAGUACAGCUACAACGACACGCUGCUCAACGACGCCAUGAAGCAUUACCUCAAGAUCAGCAAGGAGAAGAAGAUCACCGUGGGUUCGCACUUGUUCCCGGAUUUUAACACAACUCACCGUGACUUUGAGUUCGGUUUCUACGGGCCGGUCAUCGGGAGCGGACACGCGGACCCUGUCACAAUCGGCUCGGCGAUGGUCGCCGGCAAUAUGCUGGCCGCCGACGAUGCCUUCUCCUGGCAGCCUGCGGUGGUUGACGACACAAAGCAGGAUCUGCUGGUGAAUGUCAGCUACGACAUACGCUACUCUGCUCCACGUGACAACUGGGUGCGUGCUAGCAGUAAUAUGUCCUACUACUCAAACUACUCGAUGAGGCCUCAGAGAAGACGCAUCUCGGCGGAGGGCCUCUAUGAUCCGAAGAGGGGUCUCCUGUGCAUGGUGGGCUGCCAAGAGCGCAACGGCUCGACGGACUGCCAGAUUCUUGUGACGGUGCAGUUCGCCGCGGUUGAUUCCAUGGCGCACGAGCACGGAACAGGGGUGAUCAGCAGCCUUAGGGACAAGACCGAUGGCCUUUUCUUCGAGAAGAUCCAGUUCACUUUGUAUGGGAUGUAUGCGACAGAAGUGUCCGAAGCCAUAUUGAGGAUGGACCUCGAGAGCAUCAUGUCGAUGGCCUCCACGACGCUGUCGUGCGUCUUCAUCGUCCUGCAGAUCCUCCACACCAGGAGGAACCCGGAGGUGGCUCCGGCGACGUCGGUCACCAUGCUCACCGUGCUCACCAUGGGGCACCUUGCCCCUCUCGCGCUCAAUACCGAGGCCCUGUUUGCAAGCCGGAGGAGCCGGUACUUUCCCUAUGAGUACUCGACCAGCCGGUGGAUCGAGAUGAACGAGGUGGUGAUGAGGGCGCCCACGCUGAUCGCCUUCGUGCUGCAGCUGCGCCUUCUUCAACUCGUGUGGUCCGGCCGCCGAACGUCCACCCUGUCCGACAGGACCGUGCUGUGGAUAUGUGUGCCCUUGUAUGUGCUUGGAGGAGUCCUGGCCGCGGUCGUCCACAUGAUCAAUGCUCAUGCCGCCACGAGCCGCAACCCGUCGGGCAUCGUCAUGGGUGGCGGGCCGGCGACGAUCUGGGAGGACCUUGUGUCGUACGCGGGGCUGAUACUGGAUGGCUUCCUCCUUCCGCAGGUCAUCCUGAACGCGUCGUUAGGAAAAUCCAAAGUUCGGGCGAUAUCGCCGUGGUUCUACAUAGGGAGCACCAUGGUCCGUGUGGCGCCUCAUGUGUACGAUGUGGCCAGAGUCCAUGUCUACAAGCCGAGCAUGCACUCGUCCGACCUGUACGCGAGCCCCCAUGGCGACUUCUUCGGUGUCGCGUGGGACGUGGUUAUACCUUGCGGGGCGGCGCUGCUGGCCUUGUUGAUGUUCUUGCAGCAGCGGCUCGGAGGCACCGCAUCGCUUCCUUCGGAGAGGAGAUCGGGUGGAUAUGAGAUGGUCUCUAACAUUUAG
rnacentral:rRNA from 1 species